UGGGGAAUCUUGCACAAUGGAGGAAACUCUGAUGCAGCGAUGCCGCGUGAGUGAAGAAGGCCUUUGGGUUGUAAAGCUCUUUUGUAGGGGAAGAUAAUGACUGUACCCUAAGAAUAAGGUCCGGCUAACUUCGUGCCAGCAGCCGCGGUAAUACGAAGGGACCUAGCGUAGUUCGGAAUUACUGGGCGUAAAGCGCGCGUAGGCCGUUGAGUUAGUUAAUUGUGAAAUCCCAAAGCUUAACUUUGGAACUGCAAUUAAAACUGCUUCGACUAGAGUUUGAUAGAGGAAAGCGGAAUACAUAGUGUAGAGGUGAAAUUCGUAGAUAUUAUGUAGAACACCAGUUGCGAAGGCGGCUUUCUGGAUCAACACUGACGCUGAGGCGCGAAAGUAUGGGUAGCAAAGAGGAUUAGAUACCC
rnacentral:rRNA from 1 species